rnacentral:lncRNA from 1 species
CCAUCCACCGCAAACGCGUGCGAGGAGAUGCAGAUACUUACAGGCGGCGAGGAGCAUGUCGUCGUGGACGCGGAUGGCGCCGGAGAUGACGACGCCGAGCCCGAACCCGGGGAACACGUAGGCGUUGUUGGACUGCCCGGGCACGUACGUCUUCCCCUCGUACUCCACGGGGUCGAACGGGCUCCCGCUCGCGAACACGGCGGUGCCCUUGCUCCAGGUGUAGGCUUCCUCGGCCGUGCACUCCGAGUGCGACGUCGGGUUCGACAGCGAGAAGAUGACAGGUUUCUGCAUUUUUCACACGGCCUCUGUUUAGCGUUCCUGCACCUCAAAUGAAGCAAUAAAUCGAGCUGACAGGUCUGCGUCCUACCUCGUUGAAGGAGGCCAUGGCCUCGAUCACUUCUUGGGUGAAGGUCUUCCCGACGCCAGAUGUUCCGAUCAGCACGGUUGGCUUGAUGGACUGGACGGCCUCCAGCAGGGUCUUCAGUUCUUCAUGCUCAUGAGCGAACGGCUUCUUGAAGUGCUGCAGAGACUCUUUUCUAG